UUCCGGCGCCAAAUACUCCAGCUAAACGUGAAACGAUUCUCAAUUGUGGUACGGUUCUAUAAACAUACACCGCUAUACUUUCAUAUCGCAUCAAAAUAAACCACUCAGUAUUCCGUCUGGGUAAACAAGCGCUGUAACAUGGACAUAUGGCCGUGGGAACCCUAACCUAUAAAAGACAAUACAGAGUGGUGCCUGGGCUUCUUCCUGGAGUGGAAUCUAGAUGGAGAGAAACAGAAUUCCUUUGCCUGUGUGUGUCAUUGUAGCAGAGCUGUAUCCCAUGAACUGUAUCGCUCUCGAUGGAUUGGACAUUAUGCUGGAUUUCAAGCAGAAGAUGACUCAAGAAGAGCUGAAUGGCAGUUUGAUCAUGACAAUACUCCUCCCACAGCUGUACAAGUAUGGCUCCAAAGUGACGUAGUGCUCUAAGACACUUCAUCUCGGUGCAAGAGGCGUCACUGCAGUACCUGGUUAGAAUCCAGGCUGCAUCACAUCCGGCCAUGAUUGGGAGUCCCAUAGGGCGGCACGUUGGCUGUGUCAGGCCUUCAUUGUAAAUAAGAAUUUGUUCUUAACUGACUUGCCUAGUUAAAUAAAGGUUUAAAAAUC